rnacentral:tRNA from 1 species
GGUAGUUCAGUUGGUAGAACGGUGGACUGUUAAUCCAUAUGUCGCUGGUUCGAGUCCAGCC